UUCACCCUCCCCCCCUCUUCCCUCUUCUCUCUUCCCCAAGUGUUGCAGCCGCCCCCCUCUCCAUUCUCAAGUUUUUUUUGCAGCAGCCAUCUCCUCAACCCUAGCCGCCACCCCCCAUCUCCUCUUCUCCAUGUGUCGUUCUUUCUCGUCGGAUCUUCUUCGUGUGGGUGCAAGUUUCUAUUGGAGAAUUGGUGGGAGGAAGGAAGGAGGAAAAAGGUGGAACUCAAGGUGAUCUUGAAGUUAUCUAUGUUUUUGCGCUAAAAUUCAAUUGAUUAUAUGUUUAUCUAUGCGAAUCGGUAGAGGUGCUGUCCAGAAUUUUUGUGGGAGGGCGAACAGCAGUAGUUCUAGGGAUUUCUAGGAAUUUUUCGUGGGCAAUUAGUGGGGAUCAGUAGGAGAAUCAUGUAGAGCUUUGUCAUACCUUUCCAACGAGUACUUAUACGCUUGAUUCAGAGUUAUAAUUUAGGAGAUACCGUUGUUUGAAUCCGGUUAUGUUGCUGUCCAAAAAAACAGAUUUUUCAGGUGGGUGAACAGCAGUAGUAUUAGCAGUUUCUGGGAAUUUUUCGUGGGUAAUUAGUGUUAACAAGUAUGAUAAUCAUGUAGGGCUUUGUCUUAUCUUUCCAAUGAGUACUUAUGCGCUUGAUUUGGAAUUAUAUUUUAAAAGAUAUCGUUGUUUGAAUUCGGGUAUGUCACUGUCCAAAAGACAAAAAAACAGAUUACAGGGUUCAUCUUGUAGACUGUUUUGGGCUAAUUAGAUGUUGGAAUUUAAUUAUAAAUUGUAUACAAAACUUACGGGGAAUUUUAUGUAGAUGCCUCUGGAGUUUUUGUUUGUUACCACUGCUGUCAUAAUUUUAAAGUUAUGAAAUUAUUAAGCAGCGCCGCUACAGUUUGGUGGGUGUGGGGAGAGAUGUAACCCGCGGCGGGGUUUGAGUUUGUGCGUAGGUGCGGCGUCAUUUAUGAGCCUGAUUAUGUGAAAUUGGUGCACUAAGUUGUGUGUCAAAAACAGGUGGUGGACUUCCGGAUCAUACUUAGGGAUUUGCCCGAACUUCCGGUAAAGGCAAGUAAAUACAGUGGUGGUUGCUACCGUUUGGUUUGCAUCCUAUUCCCUGUCAUUGAGUAUGCAUAAGUUUUAAAUAUGUUAAUCAUUGAAUUCUAUGAUGAAGUUUAUUUGUUUGGAAGUAUUAAUUCUCAAUUGUCUAAUAUUAUGGAUGAUCAUAAUUUGGUAAUGAUAUAUGUGGUUGAUUCCCAUCUUGGAUGAAGUUGAAGUAUCUUUUUGAAUCACAUUAUAUGAAGUGUUGUAGGCAUGUCAUGCACAUCGCAUCAUCCAUCUUGUAUUUUGAAGUUAUGUCGUGAUCUUAUGGUCCGACCGUACCGAUACAUUUUUAGCAUCGUAGUUGCCCGAGGAGGGGUACGAUGCGGCUUCAUAUCCUUAGAGGUAUGAAGGCAGAAGUCAUCCUUGCAUUUGCAGACAUUUGCACUCAUGAGGUAUAUAUGAAGUGUGACAUUACUAUGUUACUAUUGUGGUUUCUACCUGCAAGGUGUGGUAAUUAGGUGUGUUGUACGUUGUAUACGUGCUGCACCUUCGUAAUAAGAAGGUUGUGGAAUCAAGUGGUGGUAAAACAAUGUUCUUAUGUGGAUAAACAGUUUGAUAUUAUUUUACUUGCUGAGAUGUGUCAUCUCACUCUUGCAUUACUCAAUGCAGGUACUUGAUACAUGUUGGGAAUGAGGGGAGUAGCAGCACGUCCACUUUCACUCUCACAAUAACGCUGCCCAGGCGCAGCCAUGAUUUAAUUAGAAACUUAUUGUCAAAGGAAGUUUGGUUUUUUAUAGUCGUGCGCACUGGUUAAUUCAGUUCAGGUCGUAUGUUUAUC
rnacentral:lncRNA from 1 species